GCCCCCAUCGUCUAGCCCGGUCUAGGACAUCACCCUCUCAAGGUGCAAACACGGGUUCGAAUCCCGUUGGGGGCG
rnacentral:tRNA from 1 species